rnacentral:rRNA from 2 species
GAUGAGAGAGCUUGCUCUCUGAUUCAGCGGCGGACGGGUGAGUAAUGCCUAGGAAUCUGCCUGAUAGUGGGGGACAACGUUUCGAAAGGAACGCUAAUACCGCAUACGUCCUAAGGGAGAAAGCAGGGGACCUUCGGGCCUUGCGCUAUCAGAUGAGCCUAGGUCGGAUUAGCUAGUUGGUGAGGUAAUGGCUCACCAAGGCGACGAUCCGUAACUGGUCUGAGAGGAUGAUCAGUCACACUGGAACUGAGACACGGUCCAGACUCCUACGGGAGGCAGCAGUGGGGAAUAUUGGACAAUGGGCGAAAGCCUGAUCCAGCCAUGCCGCGUGUGUGAAGAAGGUCUUCGGAUUGUAAAGCACUUUAAGUUGGGAGGAAGGGCAUUAACCUAAUACGUUAGUGUUUUGACGUUACCGACAGAAUAAGCACCGGCUAACUUCGUGCCAGCAGCCGCGGUAAUACGAAGGGUGCAAGCGUUAAUCGGAAUUACUGGGCGUAAAGCGCGCGUAGGUGGUUUGUUAAGUUGAAUGUGAAAGCCCCGGGCUCAACCUGGGAACUGCAUCCAAAACUGGCAAGCUAGAGUAUGGCAGAGGGUGGUGGAAUUUCCUGUGUAGCGGUGAAAUGCGUAGAUAUAGGAAGGAACACCAGUGGCGAAGGCGACCACCUGGGCUAAUACUGACACUGAGGUGCGAAAGCGUGGGGAGCAAACAGGAUUAGAUACCCUGGUAGUCCACGCCGUAAACGAUGUCGACUAGCCGUUGGGAUCCUUGAGAUCUUAGUGGCGCAGCUAACGCAUUAAGUCGACCGCCUG